GAUGAACGCUGGCGGCGUGCCUAAUACAUGCAAGUCGAGCGAAUGGAUUAAGAGCUUGCUCUUAUGAAGUUAGCGGCGGACGGGUGAGUAACACGUGGGUAACCUGCCCAUAAGACUGGGAUAACUCCGGGAAACCGGGGCUAAUACCGGAUAAUAUUUUGAACUGCAUGGUUCAAAAUUGAAAGGCAGCUUCGGCUGUCACUUAUGGAUGGACCCGCGUCGCAUUAGCUAGUUGGUGAGGAAACGGCUCACCAAGGCAACGAUGCGUAACCGACCUGGGAGGGGGAUCGGCCACACUGGGACUGAGACACGGCCCAGAGUCCUACGGGAGGCAGCAGUAGGGAAUCUUCCGCAAUGGACGAAAGUCUGACGGAGCAACGCCGCGUGAGUGAUGAAGGCUUUCGGGUCGUAAAACUCUGUUGUUAGGGAAGGACAAGUGCUAGUUGAAUAAGCUGGCACCUUGACGGUACCUAACCAGAAAGCCACGGCUAACUACGUGCCAGCCGCCGCAGUAA
rnacentral:rRNA from 1 species